UAGGGAAUCUUCGGCAAUAGACGAAAGUCUGACCGAGCAACGCCGCGUGAGUGAAGAAGGUUUUCGGAUCGUAAAACUCUGUUGGUAGAGAAGAACGUUGGUGAGAGUGGAAAGCUCAUCAAGUGACGGUAACUACCCAGAAAGGGACGGCUAACUACGUGCCA
rnacentral:rRNA from 1 species